rnacentral:rRNA from 1 species
UGGGGAAUCUUGCGCAAUGGGCGAAAGCCUGACGCAGCGACGCCGCGUGAGUGAUGAAGGCCCUAGGGUUGUAAAGCUCUGUGGAGAGGGACGAAUAAGCGCCGGCGAAUAUCCGGCGUGAUGACGGUACCUUUUUAGCAAGCACCGGCUAACUCUGUGCCAGCAGCCGCGGUAAGACAGAGGGUGCAAACGUUGUUCGGAAUUACUGGGCGUAAAGCGCGUGUAGGCUGUCAUGCAAGUCGGGUGUGAAAGCCCAGGGCUCAACCCUGGAAGUGCACUCGAAACUGCAAGACUUGAGUCUCGGAGAGGAAAGCGGAAUUCUGGGUGUAGAGGUGAAAUUCGUAGAUAUCCAGAGGAACACCGGUGGCGAAGGCGGCUUUCUGGACGAGUUACUGACGCUGAGACGCGAAAGCGUGGGGAGCAAACAGG